CACCAGGAAGUAAUUUGUCACUGUCCUCAUGCGCUUGUGAGCCAGGAUAAUCCAGAUGACAAUAAGAUUUCCAAAAACAGCCACUGCCACCACACCACCAUAAGCCAGAGACCACAGGGCAAUGCGCCAGGAAGGAAUGAUGUACUUCUCCCACCUCCCUCUCCCAACCCUCCAAAAUCCCCAGCAACAGAUAGGAAUAAAAGGGGAGCUGCAGACAGUGAUUCAUUCUACUUGACCACUGAGAAGAGUAAGUCUUCACCACCCUUGACAACCCCAGAAAGACUAGCAGCAUUUCUGACAUUUCCUGCAUUUUCACAUGCAAUUUCAGACUUCAAGAACCAAAACAAUCUUUGGAUCUAAAACUGACCUGAUAUAAGAGGGGAAAAUUGCAGUGGUUGACAGGUGGCCCAGAGAGACUGACCAGGAGGCCAGAUGGAAGAGUUGUGAUUAACUGUUCUGUUCUUCUUCAGAGUAUCUCAAAUGACUGAGUUCUACCCAGGAAUUUAUUCAAGAAAGGAGAUGAGCUCUCUCCAAGACAGGACUACAUUUUUUUGAAAAAUAUUCAGUUUCACUCCAGUAACUGCAACUACAUCCUCUGUAACCUACUACAGAUAUUUGUUCCAUUGACCACUCCUACUGGUGGUCCCGUUACCUAGGUAUACCCCCUCAAAAAAGUCUGUUCUUGUCUUCCAGUCAGGAUUGCAGUUUGUAGUAUCCUCCACCAACAAGUCAUCUGUGAGAUUGUUAAAUCCACAACAUCCCUCUUAAUGUCCCUGUUUUGCCCUUGCUUUUGUUCCCUGCCCGAUCAAACUGUUGCCUCUUUUGUUACCCUUCUCAAAGCCUAUGCACUGUUUUUCAAACAUUUUAAUGACUUCCGUCCUUUCAGACUGAAAUCCUUGAUUCUUCUGUGAUUUGUGGCCUGAUUUCCAUCUGUCCAAUUGCCUCUUCUACUUGUAUGGCUCAUUUGCAUUUGUAUUAUGUUGAUUCCUAUAUGAGGAAUGAGAGCUUUCUUCUAAGAUAUUGUAUUAUCAGUCUCAGUAAUUUGAUGCAGCCAGGAGUAACAACUGAAAAGUUCUGGGACAAUAUUUGGAUACAUUCAUUGUCAAAUUCAGUCAAAUGUUUAAGGAGCAUGUGGGACCUGGGACCCUAAGAAGCUAUAGACAGCCACAAAUGCUGCCGAAUUUCACGGCAUUGUUCUGCAUCAUGAAAUUCUAGAGAUUUUGAGUAAACAGCUUAGGCAAAAUGACAUAUUUUCCAAAGCCAUCUUCUGCAAAACAUUUGAAAAUUUCCCCUGUGAGCCCUGUAACUCUCAAAAUCAAUAUGAAAGUUACUGCGAAAAUGAUCUAACUUUGCUAGUGAGAACAUAGAAUUGUUGAGGUUGGAAAAGACCUCUAAGAUCAUUGAAUCUAACCCUUUAAUCAGACCUUCCAGUUUUGCCACUAAACCAUGUCCCUAAGCACCAUAUCUGCAUAUCUCCUAUAUGCCCCUUCAGAUUUUUCUUGUCUUUUAAAGUUGUAGCCACUGAAAGAACAUAAACUUAGAGUUACA